UGCGUAGGCGGGCUAAUUAGUCAGUGGUGAAAACCUGCAGCUUAACUGUAGACUUGCCAUUGAUACUAUUAGUCUUGAGUACGGUCAAGGUAGGCGGAAUGUGUAAUGUAGCGGUGAAAUGCUUAGAUAUUACACAGAACACCGAUUGCGAAGGCAGCUUACUGGGCCAUUACUGACGCUGAGGCACGAAAGCGUGGGGAGCGAACAGGAUUAGAUACCCUGGUAGUCC
rnacentral:rRNA from 1 species